UACGGAGGGUGCAAGCGUUAUCCGGAUUCACUGGGUUUAAAGGGUGCGUAGGCGGGUUGGUAAGUCCGUGGUGAAAUCCCCAAGCUUAACUUGGGAACUGCCGUGGAUACUAUCAAUCUUGAAUAUCGUGGAGGUAAGCGGAAUAUGUCAUGUAGCGGUGAAAUGCUUAGAUAUGACAUAGAACACCGAUAGCGAAGGCAGCUUGCUACACAAUUAUUGACACUGAGGCUCGAAAGCGUGGGGAUCAAACAGG
rnacentral:rRNA from 1 species